rnacentral:rRNA from 1 species
GAGUAACACGUGGGCAACCUGCCCAAAAGAGGGGGAUAACACUUGGAAACAGGUGCUAAUACCGCAUAACCAUAGUUACCGCAUGGUAACUAUGUAAAAGGUGGCUAUGCUACCGCUUUUGGAUGGGCCCGCGGCGCAUUAGCUAGUUGGUGGGGUAAAGGCUUACCAAGGCAAUGAUGCGUAGCCGAACUGAGAGGUUGAUCGGCCACAUUGGGACUGAGACACGGCCCAAACUCCUACGGGAGGCAGCAAUAGGGAAUCUUCCACAAUGGGCGAAAGCCUGAUGGAGCAACGCCGCGUGGGUGAAGAAGGUCUUCGGAUCGUAAAACCCUGUUGUUAGAGAAGAAAGUGCGUGAGAGUAGCUGUUCACGUUUCGACGGUAUCUAACCAGAAAGCCACGGCUAACUACGUGCCAGCAGCCGCGGUAAUACGUAGGUGGCAAGCGUUAUCCGGAUUUAUUGGGCGUAAAGGGAACGCAGGCGGUCUUUUAAGUCUGAUGUGAAAGCCUUCGGCUUAACCGAAGUAGUGCAUUGGAAACUGGGAGACUUGAGUGCAGAAGAGGAGAGUGGAACUCCAUGUGUAGCGGUGAAAUGCGUAGAUAUAUGGAAGAACACCAGUGGCGAAAGCGGCUCUCUGGUCUGUAACUGACGCUGAGGUUCGAAAGCGUGGGUAGCAAACAGGAUUAGAUACCCUGGUAGUCCACGCCGUAAACGAUGAAUGCUAAGUGUUGGAGGGUUUCCGCCCUUCAGUGCUGCAGCUAACGCAAUAAGCAUUCCGCCUGGGGAGUACGACCGCAAGGNUGAAACUCAAAGGAAUUGACGG